rnacentral:lncRNA from 1 species
AGACGGGGCUGAGACACCAACAUGUUUCAGGUUCGAUCCACCUGCUGAGCGAAACUAAGUCACAAUUAUCUUGGUCACCUAACACGGAUAUGGGUCCAUGCUUUAGGGCCUAUUUGAAUACCCGGAGAGAGGGUCUAUCCUUGGGGAUUAGUCUGGGUCUCUCCAUGGGCCUAGGAUACCCCCAGGUUAAUCAAAAAAAAAAGUAUAACUAUAAAUUAAUUUUGAUAUAAGUUUAUAUCAAUGUUAUAUUUUAAAAAUGAUAUGAAAAAUAAAAUUCAAAAUUCAAAAACUAAAACUAAUUUAUUUAUAUAUGUAGUAGAAAACAAUAUUAA